rnacentral:rRNA from 1 species
GACGAACCGUGCGAACGUUAUUCGGAAUCACUGGGCUUAAAGCGCGUGUAGGCGGGGCGGCACGUCGGCCGUUGAAAGCCCCCGGCUCAACCGGGGAAGUGGCGCCGAUACGACCGCCCUGGAGGGGCGUAGGGGGAGCCGGAACUUCCGGUGGAGCGGUGAAAUGCGUUGAGAUCGGAAGGAACGCCCGUGGCGAAAGCGGGCUCCUGGACGCCAACUGACGCUGAGACGCGAAAGCGUGGGGAGCGAACCGG